CGUCACUCUCCCCUUCCACCCCAGAAAUCCUCCCAGCCACCUCCUUCCAAGGUGACUAGUUAGCAGUUGAGUUAGUCCAGCGACUUAUUGCAAUCAGAGAGGUUAUGAGCAGAGAGACCUAGGCGGCCGGGAUGGGAUCUAGGCUAGCAUUAGGACAUUGCAUCUCAGUUACCUUAAUAAGUGCACUUGCACAAUAAAUUUAGUUUUUCUUUAGAUUUUCAAUUAUUGAAUCAAACAUAAUUGUUCAUUUUGAAAUAACUGUU